rnacentral:lncRNA from 1 species
GUAUUUUCUCACCAUUUGAAUUCUUCUGGCGUGUACUUCAAUGCGUUCUUCUAAAGUAUCUUCACUUGCCUUUCUCGCCUUCAAAGGAGCUGGUGCUCAGAGUGAGAAAUAGGAGCAGCACCUUGGUGUGUGAAGUGAAUGGUGGUGGCUCAGGAUGAAGUUGUCUGUUCCAGAAUGUCCCCAUGGACUGUCCCCUGUGGUUUCCAUGAACAACCCUGGGGCUCCACACCCAGGCUAAGAUCAAGGAAAGACCAACUGCAUGAUGAGACAGUGCAUAGACAGAACAGGGCCUCCAGUACAUGUCCACCCGGAACCAAGUUAACAUGAGGUGGCACUAGGUCAGGCUGUCUCCAAACCAAUGACUUAGGUCUUUGUAAGGAAAAUGUAGGGAGAUUUGAGAUGCAGAUACAGAGGAGGAUGACAUGUAAGAAUGGAGGCAGAGAUGGGAACAAUGCAGAAAUGAGCUGAGAAUUCCCAGCAGCCAACAGAUGCCAGAAGAGACAAGGAAGGUCUUCCUCCAUGGGAACGUGG